GUGGAUUCGGUGCAUCCCUAGUUUAGUCCUCUUCUUCCUCAAGGUUGUCUCGUAUGUUGUUGUUCCAAAGCAGGCUGUGGACCAAGUCUCAGAAUGAGGGGAUUCCAGGAGAACCACAAAAUGUCCUUAACACAGUUCAUAAGAUUCCAGGAUUCCAGAAUUGCCCCUUCCGUAUGAGUGAGUGAGAUCAUGUUCUAAGGCAUCAAACAGGACCUGUGCAAAUAUCUAAAAGUAGUAGUUUCUUCAUGAAUGCUGCACCAUGGCCAAUGCCGGUACCUACACAGAUUACAAGCCUGCAUGAAGGUUCUAAGGUGAAGUCCAGCCAUCCAUGCCCUAUCCUUGUGCUUGUUGGUCUCCCUGUCUGAAGAAACCUUUACCCAGACAGACUUGGCAGUGACAGAGAGGAGCCUUGCAAUAGACUCCAAUAAAUCCUUGGCUCUAAUCAACUUGUACAUUUUAUUUGGUUUCCACAAGUUGGGCUUGACAUCUCCAGUUGAUGUCCCUCAAAAAUAUUGUACCAUCAAUGAAAAAUCAAUGAGUGUUCAGCCAUUGCCCCAGGUGCAGGUUCUUUGAGCAUUUUGUGUUCUUCAGUACUCUUGCAAAUGUGUGCGGGGCAAUAGUAAAACAGGGAAUUACCAGUGUGUAAAACUAAUUAUUAAUAUGGUUUAUGUAAUAAAAUACAUUAACUUUCCCCAGGUGCUGUAUUCAUAGCAACCAGCAGUAGCAUUUAUUGUUCACCUGUUUAAAAGCAAAUAUAUUAUUGUCUUUUAUGAGUUACUGUACCUAAGCAAAGCAUUUUAAUUCACUACCCCGUUGUUUACACCUCCUUUCAACUUCUGCAGAGUAACAUAUUAUUAUUUAUAAGGUAUUGUAGAGGCAGUGAGGUCACAAGUAACUGUAAUAAAUGUGCACAGAGCUUCUUAUAAUCCAGAAUUCACUCACAAACUGGAACUUUGCGUUAUAUCAAACACUACAGCUUUAUUUGUGUGUGGGUCAUUUUUAUGGCAAUUUGUGCAUCUCAAAGGGGCCUAUUUAUAACAGGUCACGCUUGAAUGGUUUUAGAGGUUUUAAAAAACCACAAUUAAACUUCCUUUUUUUUUCUUCAGAGGACUUGGAAUGUGGAAGAAAUUCCCAUUUGUUCCAAACCUAAAAGGUCAACUGAUGAUCUCUCCAGAAUGAUUUAAUAAGAAGUAAAAAUUCUAUCAAGACGUAUAUAACGGCUGUAGAAAACAAAAGGCCGACAUCCCACCAGGGACCAAAAUAACGAACAUCAGCACUUUUGGCAGCAACUUUAUUGAUAGAUCUAAAUAAGAAUUAUUAAGCAAAUCUUCCUUAACACAUAUUGAUAUUAAGAUAUGCAUAUUACCAUAUAAAUAACCAUUGCCUUCAAUCUCUUUGUAGCUCUCUAUGAAACCCUUCCCCAUAGGGACAGUAAAGCUACAACACAAUCUAUGAGGAUGCAUUUUGUUAAGUCCCCAAAGGGCACCGUAUCAGCCAGAAGAAUUGCCCCAUUUGUCAGCUGGAAGGAAACCAUAUAUUUUAAGAGCGCUGCCUGUGCAUUCCUUAGCAGUAAUAGGAUUCCAGAUAUAGGGAUAUAGAUCACAAGAACAGAAAUAUUAGGGGCAAAGAUAUGCCGGGCUCUUUAAAAGGACACCGCUGGUACUAAUUGGACAUUCUUCUUUGCACAAGAACUUCAUUGUUCAAUGGUUACCUGCCAUAACCUUCAGGAUACAGUUUCCUACCA